UUUUAUCUCAUCUGAAAACCUCUCUGGCUUGCUUGGAAAAUAUAUAUCACUUCUCCGUUCUCCGGCCGGCGGCAACGCAGUCGUGGUGUUCAAUAAGAGAGGAUGUUUGGUUGGGAAUCGGAUGCUGUGUGUUUUGGUUAAGUGAAUUUAAAAGCCUUGUGGAAUAUGUGGUUUGAAAACUAGAAAGGAUGAGCUAAGUCUUAGGAGAUCCUAAUUUUGCCGAGGUUUGUGUUGUGGAAUGGGAAAUUGAGGCCGGUUCCGUUAAAGCCAAACGACUGAACCGGUCUUUGACUUGUUCAGCAUUAGAGAAUUCAGAUUGGGGGUUGCUCUUGGCGUUUGAACACCAAUCUGAUUUUGCGGGCGCCUGCCAAAUUCAAAUGGCGAAACAGCUGUGUGUUUUUCAGGAAAAGACUCACAAUGCUGGCAGAGGCAAUCGCUACAAGGUUGGGAAGCAAAGUUAAGGUGUCUUGGAAGCUCUCAAGUAUUACUAAGCUGGACAGCGGAGGAUACAAUUUGACUUGUGAAAUUCCAGAGGGGAUGUUCUCUGUCCAGAGUCACAAGUGUUGAUUGGAGGGGUAGUUUUGAAGCGCUAUCCGCCAGUUGAAGCAGUAUCUGUCUCAUUCCCGAAAGAGGCAAAUCCGAAACGAAUGCUUGAUAGAUGGUGAUCUUAAAGGGUUUGGCCGAUUUCACCUACGCUCACAAGGAAGGCUCUUUGUUAUACUUAAGUUCCUGGUUAGGACUAUGUUCCCUAUGUUUAAAAAAUUAACGUCAUUGUUGGCAGAGCUACCAACACUGGGAUCUUAUCAAAGUCAGAAGGUGAGUUAGUGGAAGCAGUGGAUGAGAUGCUGAUAAUGCUGAUCCAGUUGUACUUGGAGUGAGUAAGAGUGUGGCCUCAAGCCAUUCCUCUGUUUCUGAUAGGUAACAUUGAUUUGUUAGACGCAGAGAAAGCGUCUCUUUCAUCAUUGGGUCAUGGUGGGAUGUUCUUGGGUGGCAACUAUGUUGCUGGUGUAGCAUUGGGAUUGAGGCGCUUGCAAGUUGCAACCCAAUUCAACAAUUUCAUGUCGAGGUACGCUUACAAGUAACAAGAAUAGAAUAAAAACCAAAUAGAGAUACUUAGAUUGCUGUUUUGACUUUGACAACAGUUUAAGCUUGUAAAGGUUUCAUUGAUCUUCUCAUAAGUUUUACUAGCCAAAAGGUGGGGAGAAUAAUACAAAAAGCAUGAGAGAGAGAGAGACAGAGAGAGAGAGAUCUCUAGAACAAAUCGAUCAUAACUCUUGAAUCUUGAGGAUCUUCGUGAAGAGGUGAGAUCUUGACGCUGUCGAAUCUUGUAGCCCUUGGAGAUUUCUGUUCAUGUGUGUAAUAGGUGGAAGUAGAAGAUGAUGACGUGAGAGGCAUGGAGGAAGAAGAAGGGAAUUCAGGGUUUGUAGGGUGUAGGAUUUCUGUGAGUAGAAGAACGAUUGACGCCAUUGAUGUUUGAUGAUGAUCAACUCUGAAAAAGAAGCGCUUGUUUCUUUGUGUGUUUGUAUGUCUUGUCAUGUGAUGAUUCUAAAUACUUGUUUAUAUAUAUAGAGAAAAACAAAAGAAGUGGGCCUGUGUGGUAUUGUGGAUCGAUGGUGUGUGUGUUUUAAAGUCCAACGGAGGAGAGAAUCCAGUGGGACUCUUAAAUCUUUGGCUGGCAAGUGGUUUUUG